UUUCAAAAUGUAGAUACAUGUUUUCCAAAAUACAUCAUGGCUCUCCCAUAACUAUCCAAAACAUCAUCUAGUACACGAGGGUACUCUAAUGCAUAAAGGAAAAGCUACUAACUAGGCUCACUUAGGGCGCUAUGCCCUUGCCGCGGUCCUCUGCCGGUCCGCUCUCGUGUGUACCUGUACCCCAAAACCACACGGGGUGAGAACUAUAUAUAAAUAUAGUUCCCAGUGGGUUCGGCCGCCGACUCCGUCGAUUUUCCCACUAGGUCCAAGCUGGCACAGAUAGAUAGAUAGAAAGGUAGAUAGAAAUACAUUGCUACUAUAUCUACUAUGCCAUCAAAUGCAAAGAAUGCAUAGAACAUCAUCUAGCAAUAACCUACUAUCAUGCUAGUAUGCUUCAACAGUGUAAUAAAUACAACUACAACAUAGUUAUGCAGUCUACUAUGUCCAAUCAUGGCAUGAAUGCAAUCCACUUAUGCUAUUCAUGUUACAACCCAAUCGACUAGGCCAACUUGCCUAAGAUCUCAAAUCUCAAAGGUCCUAGACAAAGAGCUACCCCGCUCCUUGCCCGACUCAAUCUCGAAGGUCCUAGGCAAAGAGCUACCCCGCUCCAUGCCCGAUUCAAUCUCGCUCUACUAAGUACGAGCUGCUAUAUAGUAAUGGAAUAUACACAUGCUACUAUGCCUCUGUAAUCAUGGAAUGCAUGAACAUAGCAAUGAUAUUCUACUAAUCAUGAUACUAUGCUUCAACAAUAAUAGAAAUGAGCUACUACAUAGUGAUGUAUCUACAACAUGCUACUAUGUCUCAAUGUCAACUCAAGGUAUGAAUGCAAAUCUGCUAUGCCAUUCAUAUUCUUUACCCAAUCUGCUUGGAAAUGAGCUACUACAUAGUGAUGUAUCUACAACAUGCUACUAUGUCUCAACAAUAAGAAAAUGAGCUGCUACAUAGUGAUGUAUCUGCACAUGCUACUAUGCCUCAAUAAUCCGAAUGAACGAGCUACUACAUAGUGCGUCGUGCAACUAUGCCUCGAUAGUAUCCAAUCUCAUGGCUAACCUGAAGGUUGCCACCCCGGGGUCAACCCCGACUCACUCUCAAUCUCAUAGGUGAGGAGAAUCUGCGCUCGCACACCGAGACCGUCUGCGGGACAACUACGUCUGCCCCUAGUGAAGUACUCCGGAGACUCGUGCUUCGGUGGAGCGACCACCGACAAGCAAAAACAGACUAGUGAGUAUGAUCCAAUCCUCACAAGAGGAUACCCUAUCUACCAGGGUCAAUGUGCCUCUGCUGCACAAUACCAAAUGCAUAAUCAAUGCCUCAAAUGCACUAAUGCCAAAUGCAUAAUGUCUACAACAUGACAAUCGGGAAAAUCUACUAUCCCUAGAUUCAAAUGCCAUAGUGUUCCACUACACUAGAUUUGAUGCCACUCAUUUAUGUCACGAUGUUAUAUGUGUCUUAAUACACUAAAUCGACAUGCCACUCGUCAAUAUUAUAGUGUCUUUGUUACACUAGUCCAAAUGCCACUCGUCUAGGCCAAUUACAUGUCCAGUUCAUCAUUAUUCUUGUCACUAUAGGAUUCUUGUCACAAGACCCCAUCCUCAUGCAACCUAAGAUCAAGUGUCAAGCCCACAAUGCUACACAACCUAGGUAACAUGCAAGGAAUGGAAAUGUAAUCAUCUACUAAUCCUAUAAUGCACAAUAUAUCAACAUAUAGGAAUAUGAUCAAGAUAUAGAAUAUAGACAUAAAAGGAAACUCAGUUGCUUCGGGAUGACAACCUCCCACCUUUUAAUGCUACCAAGAGGCUAGGGUUCCGAUUUCGUGAUUUUUGGAAGCUUUCGCCGCGAGCUGCGGCAAUCUGUACCUUAACGGCUUCGUUCUUUAAUAUCUUCACAUAGCCUCGUCGUAUCGCCGAACCGACUUCGCCAACGCGUCAGAAAACCUAGUAAUUAGGUUUAUACAUGAUCAAUUUAGAUCAAACCCUCACAUAUUGCAAAAUCCCAUUUUUGAGCCCUAACAUGCAAUUACCCCCAAAUAAUCCAAAUUAAAUGGAGCAACAUGCUAAGAAUGCUCAUUAGAGGCUACUAGAACACUUAAGGCUAAGGAUUAAGCCAAAUCCCAAAAGUUUACCAAAAUGUGAACGCCGAGACGGAAGCACGCCGCUCCAACGAGCGCACGAAAGCUCGAUCCGUCGCUCCCAACGCGUUCGCAAGCUCGUUCUCCGCCAACGCCGCGAAUUUGGGCGAAAGAUCUAGAGAGAUGAGAGAGUUAUUUAGAGAGAGAAAGUGAGGAUUUCUCUCACUACCACCAUGAAUGUGUGGUGUUGUGGAGGUGGUGGUGGCUGUGAAGAAGAAGAAGACUAGAAGCUUCUGAAAGUUUUGAGGAGCCCAAGGAUCUAUCUAGAUUGUAUCUAUCACCUAGAGGGGGGUGAAUAGGUGAACGGCCAAAAAACCACAAAUCUCGAUGCAAUAAAAAUAAAUGCGGAAAAUAAAAAGCACAUCGAGAUUUACGUGGGAAAACUCCAACUUGGAGAAAAACCCACGGGACCAACACACGAAAAAAAUAAUUCACUAAGAGAAAAGAUUAGAAGGUGAUUACCGACUCCACGGACUCAACCUCUCUUAACCUCCUAUGAAUCUUCGUGCUACCCUCCGGGUUGUCCACGCCCUCACGUUCGAAUCCACGAACGCCUCCACUUCGAAUCCACGAAACUUCAAUCACGCCGAAUCCACGACGCCACUCGAAUCCACGAGCCAACGAUCCGAAUCCACGAACCGCCUUUGUUCACGCCGAAUCCACAACGCCGUUCAUGAAGAGCAUCAUGAU
rnacentral:lncRNA from 1 species